rnacentral:rRNA from 1 species
AAUGAACGCUGGCGGCAGGCCUAACACAUGCAAGUCGAGCGGACCCUUCGGGGUUAGCGGCGGACGGGUGAGUAACGCGUGGGAACGUGCCCUUUGCUUCGGAAUAGCCCUGGGAAACUGGGAGUAAUACCGGAUACGCCCUUUUGGGGAAAGAUUUAUCGGCGAAGGAUCGGCCCGCGUUGGAUUAGGUAGUUGGUGGGGUAAUGGCCUACCAAGCCGACGAUCCAUAGCUGGUUUGAGAGGAUGAUCAGCCACACUGGGACUGAGACACGGCCCAGACUCCUACGGGAGGCAGCAGUGGGGAAUCUUAGACAAUGGGGGAAACCCUGAUCUAGCCAUGCCGCGUGAGCGAUGAAGGCCUUAGGGUUGUAAAGCUCUUUCACCGGGGAAGAUAAUGACGGUACCCGGAGAAGAAGCCCCGGCUAACUCCGUG